GAAAAGUGGCGGAGUGCUAUACAUGCAAGUCGAGCGGACAGAUGGGAGCUUGCUCCCUGAUGUUAGCGGCGGACGGGUGAGUAACACGUGGGUAACCUGCCUGUAAGACUGGGAUAACUCCGGGAAACCGGGGCUAAUACCGGAUGGUUGUUUGAACCGCAUGGUUCAGACAUAAAAGGUGGCUUCGGCUACCACUUACAGAUGGACCCGCGGCGCAUUAGCUAGUUGGUGAGGUAACGGCUCACCAAGGCGACGAUGCGUAGCCGACCUGAGAGGGUGAUCGGCCACACUGGGACUGAGACACGGCCCAGACUCCUACGGGAGGCAGCAGUAGGGAAUCUUCCGCAAUGGACGAAAGUCUGACGGAGCAACGCCGCGUGAGUGAUGAAGGUUUUCGGAUCGUAAAGCUCUGUUGUUAGGGAAGAACAAGUGCCGUUCAAAUAGGGCGGCACCUUGACGGUACCUAACCAGAAAGCCACGGCUAACUACGUGCCAGCAGCCGCGGUAAUACGUAGGUGGCAAGCGUUGUCCGGAAUUAUUGGGCGUAAAGGGCUCGCAGGCGGUUUCUUAAGUCUGAUGUGAAAGCCCCCGGCUCAACCGGGGAGGGUCAUUGGAAACUGGGGAACUUGAGUGCAGAAGAGGAGAGUGGAAUUCCACGUGUAGCGGUGAAAUGCGUAGAGAUGUGGAGGAACACCAGUGGCGAAGGCGACUCUCUGGUCUGUAACUGACGCUGAGGAGCGAAAGCGUGGGGAGCGAACAGGAUUAGAUACCCUGGUAGUCCACGCCGUAAACGAUGAGUGCUAAGUGUUAGGGGGUUUCCGCCCCUUAGUGCUGCAGCUAACGCAUUAAGCACUCCGCCUGGGGAGUACGGUCGCAAGACUGAAACUCAAAGGAAUUGACGGGGGCCCGCACAAGCGGUGGAGCAUGUGGUUUAAUUCGAAGCAACGCGAAGAACCUUACCAGGUCUUGACAUCCUCUGACAAUCCUAGAGAUAGGACGUCCCCUUCGGGGGCAGAGUGACAGUGUGCAUGAUGUCGUCAGCUCGUGUCGUGAGAUGUUGGUUAGUCCCGCACGAGCGCAACCCUUGAUCUAGUGCCAGCAUUCAGUUGGGCACUCUAAGGUGAC
rnacentral:rRNA from 1 species